AUAAAGGAGCCUAUUUAUGCAUAGAAUAAGAGUUAUAUUUUAUUUAGAGGACAUUAUUGUGAGUAUAGUUCUCUAAACUGCAAGUAUUAAUUUUUUUUUGUUUCAACUUACCUUAGCUAAUGCCCAUAUGCUGAAAUGGGCACGAUAUUCUUCGGUUGUCAUACCUCCGUUUCCAACUUCAAGCAUGUCAGGAUCUGUCUCCCACAAAAUAGAAUCUGAACUUUAAUUUCUUCAUUAUGAGAUAAGUAAAUAGGAAUUAUACAUAUACAUAUUCAGUUUUUUUUCUUCUUAUUUCGGUGAAAGAAUUGGUUAAUUUAGUAUAUUGUUUGAAUGAUUACCAUUCCAUCCUCCAGGUCCAGCGUAAGAAGCCCAUUUGUUAUUCAGAUCUGCGCGAGAUAUCAUACUAAGGAGAAAGUAUGAUAAGUUUCUCAUGUGAAAAAUGAAGAAAUGAUGCAGAAACAUUGAACAAGUAAACUUUAUCAGAAUAGAUAAACUCGUUCACGAAUGAGAAACAUGAUCACCGGUUUGACUCACCAUUCACACAAAGAGAAGAAGAUCGGCCUUCCAGAUUUCAACAAAGCUUCACUCAUCGCCGGGUACCUGUUCUUACAAAAUGCAUGAAUUAUAGAUUUUAAAAGCAUUUCGUCGGUCUGUUUAUGCAUUUGAAAGCCAGAAUUAUAUACCUUUCUUUCGGGUCUA